CUCGGGGCAGGGUGCAAUUCCCUACCGGCGGUAUAGCCCGCGAACUGUAUAUGUAUGAUUCAUAUAUAGCUGAUUCUGUGAGAUUCAGAAGCCGACAGUAAAGUCUGGAUGAGAGAGU
rnacentral:ncRNA from 1 species